AUGGCAGAUGAACGUCAGGAAGGAACAUUAGGAACAUCCAUGGUGUUCCAUCCAGGAACCUUCACCAUGGAAACCCCUGUGCUCAUGGGCCUGGUCUCAAGACACAGUCAGUUGGGGAUCAGCGGCCACACUCAUCGUAGCAGAGAGGCAAGAACAGCUGGGAGAGGGUCCUUCUGUGACACCUAUUGCAUCACUGGGCUCUGUGAAGUGACUCAGCUGCCAGAACUCACACAAUAUCAUUCUGCACCAAAACCUCACGGGAAAAAUGGUUUAGCAUCACGAACCUCAGACUUAAACAGCACAACAGGCUCCUCCCAGGUCUCCAGCUACACAGCCCUCAGACUAAACAGCAGCAGCAGCACCAGCUCCUCCCUGGGUCUCCAGCUCCACAAACCUCAAAUUAGAACAGCAGCACUGGCUCCACCCAGUCUCCAGCUCCACACCUCAAACUUGAACUACAGCACCAGCUCCUUCCUGGGUCUCCGGCUCCACGGACCUUAAACUAAAACAGCAGCACUGGCUCCUCCCCAGGUCCCCAGCUACAGACCCUCAAACUAGAAGAGCAGCACCACUUCCACCUAGUCUCCAGCUCCACACCUCAAACUAGAACUUCAGCACCUGCUCCUCCCCGAGUCUCAAUAUCUGUGACCCUCAAAAUAAAACAGCAGGACCAGCUCCUCCUCUGGUCUUCAGCUUCACGACCUUAACUAUAACAGCACCACCCGCUCCUCCGGGGUCAACAGCUCCGAUGCUAAAACUAGAACAGCAGACCAGCUUCUACCUAAAACACCAGCUCCAAGACUCUCAAACAAGAACAGCAGCACUGACUUCUCUCACCAGGUCUCCAGCUCCACGAACCUCAAACUUGAACAGCAGCACCGGCCUGCCGGGUCUCCAGCUCCACGAACCUCAAACUUGAACAGCAGCACCCGCUCCUCCCUGGGUCUCCAGCUCCGCGAACCUCAAACUUGAACUGCAGCACCUGCUCCUCCCGGGAUCUCCAGCUCCACGAACCUUAAACUAAAACAGCAGUACUCACUCCUCCCCAGGUCCCCAGCUGCAGACCCUCAAGCUGCAACAGCAGCACCAUCUCCUCUCUGGGUCUCCAGCUCCAUGGACCUUAAACUAGAACAGCAGCACCAGCUCCUCUCCCGGUCUCCAGCUCCACGACCCUAAAACUAGAACAGCAGCACCAGCUCCUCCUUGGGACAACAGCUUUAAGACCCUCAAACUACAACAGAAGCCCUGACACCUGCCCAGGUUUACAAACCUCAAACUUGAACUUCAGCACUGGCUGAAGUCUCCAGC
rnacentral:lncRNA from 1 species